GUUGGGUAGGGGAGCGUUCUGUAAGCCUGUGAAGGUGGCCUGUGAGGGUUGCUGGAGGUAUCAGAAGUGCGAAUGCUGACAUAAGUAACGAUAAAGCGGGUGAAAAGCCCGCUCGCCGGAAGACCAAGGGUUCCUGUCCAACGUUAAUCGGGGCAGGGUGAGUCGACCCCUAAGGCGAGGCCGAAAGGCGUAGUCGAUGGGAAACGGGUUAAUAUUCCCGUACUUGGUGUUACUGCGAAGGGGGGACGGAGAAGGCUAUGUUGGCCGGGCGACGGUUGUCCCGGUUUAAGCGUGUAGGUGUGUGUUCCAGGUAAAUCCGGUUCACUUUAACACUGAGGCGUGACGACGAGGCACUACGGUGCUGAAGCAACAAAUGCCCUGCUUCCAGGAAAAGCCUCUAAGCAUCAGGUAACAUCAAAUCGUACCCCAAACCGACACAGGUGGUCAGGUAGAGAAUACCAAGGCGCUUGAGAGAACUCGGGUGAAGGAACUAGGCAAAAUGGUGCCGUAACUUCGGGAGAAGGCACGCUGACACGUAGGUGAAGUGAUUUACUCACGGAGCUGAAGUCAGUCGAAGAUACCAGCUGGCUGCAACUGUUUAUUAAAAACACAGCACUGUGCAAACACGAAAGUGGACGUAUACGGUGUGACGCCUGCCCGGUGCCGGAAGGUUAAUUGAUGGGGUCAGCGCAAGCGAAGCUCCUGAUCGAAGCCCCGGUAAACGGCGGCCGUAACUAUAACGGUCCUAAGGUAGCGAAAUUCCUUGUCGGGUAAGUUCCGACCUGCACGAAUGGCGUAAUGAUGGCCAGGCUGUCUCCACCCGAGACUCAGUGAAAUUGAACUCGCUGUGAAGAUGCAGUGUACCCGCGGCAAGACGGAAAGACCCCGUGAACCUUUACUAUAGCUUGACACUGAACAUUGAGCCUUGAUGUGUAGGAUAGGUGGGAGGCUUUGAAGCGUGGACGCCAGUCUGCGUGGAGCCGACCUUGAAAUACCACCCUUUAAUGUUUGAUGUUCUAACGUGGACCCGUAAUCCGGGUUGCGGACAGUGUCUGGUGGGUAGUUUGACUGGGGCGGUCUCCUCCUAAAGAGUAACGGAGGAGCACGAAGGUUGGCUAAUCCUGGUCGGACAUCAGGAGGUUAGUGCAAUGGCAUAAGCCAGCUUGACUGCGAGCGUGACGGCGCGAGCAGGUGCGAAAGCAGGUCAUAGUGAUCCGGUGGUUCUGAAUGGAAGGGCCAUCGCUCAACGGAUAAAAGGUACUCCGGGGAUAACAGGCUGAUACCGCCCAAGAGUUCAUAUCGACGGCGGUGUUUGGCACCUCGAUGUCGGCUCAUCACAUCCUGGGGCUGAAGUAGGUCCCAAGGGUAUGGCUGUUCGCCAUUUAAAGUGGUACGCGAGCUGGGUUUAGAACGUCGUGAGACAGUUCGGUCCCUAUCUGCCGUGGGCGCUGGAGAACUGAGGGGGGCUGCUCCUAGUACGAGAGGACCGGAGUGGACGCAUCACUGGUGUUCGGGUUGUCAUGCCAAUGGCACUGCCCGGUAGCUAAAUGCGGAAGAGAUAAGUGCUGAAAGCAUCUAAGCACGAAACUUGCCCCGAGAUGAGUUCUCCCUGAGACUUUAGGUCUCCUGAAGGAACGUUGAAGACGACGACGUUGAUAGGCCGGGUGUGUAAGCGCAGCGAUGCGUUGAGCUAACCGGUACUAAUGAACCGUGAGGCUUAACCUUACAACGCCGAAG
rnacentral:rRNA from 1 species